GCUCUGGUGGCUUAGUGGUUAGAGCGUCCGCCUCUGAUGCGGGAGGUCGCGGCUUCAAACCCCGCCGAGCC